GACGAAGGUGGCUAGCGUUGUUCGGUGUCACUGGGCUUAAAGCGUGUGUAGGCGGAAGUGUAAGCGUCUUGUGAAAUCCCUCAGCUUAACUGAGGAACUGUUAGGCGAACUGUGCUUCUUGAGGCAAGUAGGGGUGCAUGGAACUCUUGGUGGAGCGGUGGAAUGCGUAGAUAUCAAGAGGAACGCCGGUGGUGAAAACGGUGCACUGGGCUUGUCCUGACGCUGAGACACGAAGGCGUGGGGAGCGAACGGGAUUAGAUACCCCUGUA
rnacentral:rRNA from 1 species